rnacentral:rRNA from 1 species
AUUGAACGCUGGCGGCAGGCCUAACACAUGCAAGUCGAGCGGAUGAAGAGAGCUUGCUCUCUGAUUCAGCGGCGGACGGGUGAGUAAUGCCUAGGAAUCUGCCUGGUAGUGGGGGACAACGUUUCGAAAGGAACGCUAAUACCGCAUACGUCCUACGGGAGAAAGCAGGGGACCUUCGGGCCUUGCGCUCUCAGAUGAGCCUAGGUCUGAUUAGCUAGUUGGUGAGGUAAUGGCUCACCUAGGCGACGAUCCGUAACUGGUCUGAGAGGAUGAUCAGUCACACUGGAACUGAGACACGGUCCAGACUCCUACGGGAGGCAGCAGUGGGGAAUAUUGGACAAUGGGCGAAAGCCUGAUCCAGCCAUGCCGCGUGUGUGAAGAAGGUCUUCGGAUUGUAAAGCACUUUAAGUUGGGAGGAAGGGCAGUAAGUUAAUACCUUGCUGUUUUGACGUUACCGACAGAAUAAGCACCGGCUAACUCUGUGCCAGCAGCCGCGGUAA